rnacentral:rRNA from 1 species
UACGUAGGGUGCAAGCGUUGUCCGGAAUUAUUGGGCGUAAAGAGCUCGUAGGCGGCUUGUCGCGUCGGCUGUGAAAACCUGGGGCUCAACUCCGGGCCUGCAGCCGAUACGGGCAAGCUAGAAUUCGGUAGGGGAGACUGGAAUUCCUGGUGUAGCGGUGAAAUACGUAGAGAUUGGGAAGAACACCAGUGGCGAAGGCGGCUAUCUGGACGGUUUCUGACACUAAGACUCGAAAGCGUGGGGAGCAAACAGG